rnacentral:rRNA from 1 species
GUAAAGGCUUACCAAGGCAAUGAUGCGUAGCCGAACUGAGAGGUUGAUCGGCCACAUUGGGACUGAGACACGGCCCAAACUCCUACGGGAGGCAGCAGUAGGGAAUCUUCCACAAUGGGCGAAAGCCUGAUGGAGCAACGCCGCGUGGGUGAAGAAGGUCUUCGGAUCGUAAAACCCUGUUGUUAGAGAAGAAAGUGCGUGAGAGUAACUGUUCACGUUUCGACGGUAUCUAACCAGAAAGCCACGGCUAACUACGUGCCAGCAGCCGCGGUAAUACGUAGGUGGCAAGCGUUAUCCGGAUUUAUUGGGCGUAAAGGGAACGCAGGCGGUCUUUUAAGUCUGAUGUGAAAGCCUUCGGCUUAACCGGAGUAGUGCAUUGGAAACUGGGAGACUUGAGUGCAGAAGAGGAGAGUGGAACUCCAUGUGUAGCGGUGAAAUGCGUAGAUAUAUGGAAGAACACCAGUGGCGAAAGCGGCUCUCUGGUCUGUAACUGACGCUGAGGUUCGAAAGCGUGGGUAGCAAACAGGAUUAGAUACCCUGGUAGUCCACGCCGUAAACGAUGAAUGCUAAGUGUUGGAGGGUUUCCGCCCUUCA